CCUACGGGAGGCAGCAGUGGGGAAUAUUGCGCAAUGGGCGAAAGCCUGACGCAGCGACGCCGCGUGAGGGAUGAAGGUCUUCGGAUCGUAAACCUCUGUCAGCAGGGAAGAACGGUCACUGUGCUAAUCAGCAGUGAAUUGACGGUACCUGCAAAGGAAGCACCGGCUAACUCCGUGCCAGCAGCCGCGGUAAUACGGCGGGUGCGAGCGUUAAUCGGAAUUACUGGGCGUAAAGCGCUCGUAGGCGGUAUGUCAAGUCAAGGGUGAAAUCCCCGCGCUCAACGUGGGAACUGCCUUUGAAACUGGCAAACUGGAGUGUGUGAGAGGAUAGUGGAAUUCCAGGUGUAGGAGUGAAAUGCGUAGAUAUCUGGAGGAACAUCAGUGGCGAAGGCGACUAUCUGGCACAUAACUGACGCUGAGGAGCGAAAGCGUGGGUAGCAAACAGGAUUAGAUACCCGGGUAGUC
rnacentral:rRNA from 1 species